CUUACAACGGAGAGUUUGAUCCUGGCUCAGGAUGAACGCUAGCGGCAGGCUUAACACAUGCAAGUCGAGGGGUAAUCUUGCUUUCGAGCGAGAACGACCGGCGCACGGGUGCGUAACGCGUAUGCAACCUACCCUUAUCAGGAGGAUAGCCCGAAGAAAUUCGGAUUAAUACUCCAUAAUAUUAAUAGAUGGCAUCAUUUAUUAAUUAAAGCUACGGCGGAUAAGGAUGGGCAUGCGUCCUAUUAGUUAGUUGGAGAGGUAACGGCUCACCAAGACAGCGAUAGGUAGGGGGCCUGAGAGGGUGAUCCCCCACACUGGUACUGAGACACGGACCAGACUCCUACGGGAGGCAGCAGUGAGGAAUAUUGGUCAAUGGACGAGAGUCUGAACCAGCCAUGCCGCGUGCAGGAUGACAGCCCUACGGGUUGUAAACUGCUUUUAUAUGGGAAUAAACCCCCGAACGUGUUCGGGGCUGAAGGUACCAUACGAAUAAGGAUCGGCUAACUCCGUGCCAGCAGCCGCGGUAAUACGGAGGAUCCAAGCGUUAUCCGGAUUCAUUGGGUUUAAAGGGUCCGCAGGCGGGGCGCUAAGUCAGUGGUGAAAGCCUACCGCUCAACGGUAGGACUGCCAUUGAUACUGGUGCUCUUGAGUGUAGUUGAAGUGGGCGGAAUGAGUCAUGUAGCGGUGAAAUGCAUAGAUAUGACUCAGAACACCGAUUGCGAAGGCAGCUCACUAAGCUAACACUGACGCUCAGGGACGAAAGCGUGGGUAGCAAACAGGAUUAGAUACCCUGGUAGUCCACGCUGUAAACUAUGAUCACUCGCUGUUGGCGAUAUACAGUCAGCGGCCAAGCGAAAGCAUUAAGUGAUCCACCUGGGGAGUACGCUCGCAAGAGUGAAACUCAAAGGAAUUGACGGGGGCCCGCACAAGCGGUGGAGCAUGUGGUUUAAUUCGAUGAUACGCGAGGAACCUUACCUGGGCUUAAAUGCAGGACGACCGUCCCGGAAACGGGACUUUCUUCGGACGGCCUGCAAGGUGCUGCAUGGUUGUCGUCAGCUCGUGCCGUGAGGUGUCGGGUUAAGUCCCAUAACGAGCGCAACCCCUAUUCUUAGUUGCCAGCGGUUCGGCCGGGGACUCUAAGAAACUGCCCGCGCAAGCGGUGAGGAAGGUGGGGAUGACGUCAAAUCAUCACGGCCCUUACGUCCAGGGCUACACACGUGCUACAAUGGUGUUGACAGAGGGCAGCUACACUGCGAAGUGAUGCUAAUCCCUAAACAACAUCUCAGUUCGGAUUGGAGUCUGCAACUCGACUCCAUGAAGCUGGAAUCGCUAGUAAUCGCGCAUCAGCCAUGGCGCGGUGAAUACGUUCCCGGGCCUUGUACACACCGCCCGUCAAGCCAUGGAAGCUGGGGGUACCUGAAGUCGGUCACCGCAAGGAGCUGCCUAGGGUAAAACCAGUAACUGGGGCUAAGUCGUAACAAGGUAGCCGUACUGGAAGGUGCGGCUGGAACACCUCCUUUUAGAGU
rnacentral:rRNA from 1 species